rnacentral:misc_RNA from 1 species
GGCAUGCCUGUUCGAGCGUCAUUACAACCCUCAAGCUCUGCUUGGUAUUGGGCCGCGCCGCCUGGCCGGCCCCAAAGACAAUGGUGGCGCCCCCCGGCCCUCAGCGUAGUAAAUCUCUCGCUGUAGGAACCGUGGUGGUCCCGACACCCAAAACGCACAAGGUUGACCUCGGAUCAGGUAGGGAUACCCGCUGAACUUAA